rnacentral:lncRNA from 1 species
UCUUCCCCUCUGGAAUGCGUCCUGGCUUCGGCUGGCCCGGCCCAACCCUCGGCGGCCGCGGUGCCCAGGCCCACUCCUUCCGCGCCUGGAAACGUGAGACGGGUCCCCGAGGACGACGUAGACGAACUUUGCAGAGCACGUUGCCACCUGUCGGAGCGGCCGCUCCAGCCCCGGUCGAAAUGCACGGCUGAACAAUGGCAGCUCUGAGUGGCUCGAGGGCCCACACUUUCUCUCUUUAAAACUGAUGCGCUCGUGGUAAUAGUUCGUAACAUGCCCCACAUCCAGAGGCCUGUGCUCGGCACCUCACCAGUGCCCGGGGCGGUGCGCCCGGCGUGGGCAGCUUCGCCCUUGAGAGCACCAGACCUGGAUCUACCGCGCCCUGGGGCUGAAUGUGAAUUAUUACGUGGGAGUCAUACUGCAUGAAAUAUUUCACAAGAAAAGGGGACAGGACUGGACCGCUGACUGUUCCUUCUUUGAUCUCAGGCAUGAUUUGAGCUUGUAGAAUAAAUGAGAAAUGCCUGUUGGUUUAAUUAAAAGAACCCCAUUGGCUGUGCUAGCCUGCCUGCCUUCUGGUGCCCAAGCAAGUGUAUUGAUAAAGGAAUCAAAAGCUGCACGCUCAAUUGUCCCAGGGUUUUCUCAUCUAUCUUGACAGCUUUUGAGAAUAUGAGUCAAUUUCUCAAAAGCGGUUUAUUGUAAGCCUUGAAAUAUCCAGUUUCCUACCUGGUACCUUAAAUCAUUACUUUCUCUGUAGGGAUAACUGGUGAACUAUCUCCAAAAUACAUCCUUCUUGUCCAUUGACUCAAAUAGCUGAUUGGGAAGAAGCCAGCUGUCUCCUGUGGGACGGUGUCUGGCCUCUGAGGUAGGCCCUGGAGCUACUGCCUGGGGAAUCAAUGUACUACAGCAAUACAGACUCAGUUCUUGGUCCCUUGGCUGAUACCUCCAGCGUAAGACCUCCAGGAAGAACUUCUGCUAGGCCCAAUCACAGAGACUAGUGGGUGUGGUCAGAAAGCCCGGGGCACAGCCUGUUCGGUCAUUCUACAGGCGAGUUACCACCAAGGCUGAGCUUUAGGAGAAGAGCAAGACAAUAUCAAUGGCUGGGGGUUCACACGAAGGCAAGACAUGGACAGCUGCUCCUUCAUCCGUGUUUUUAUCCCCAGAGAACAGCUUUGUGAAAGUGCUCUGUGCUCUCAAGCUGCUGCCAGCAGGGUCUGUCUCAGGCGUGGUUUUUGAGAGGUAAGUGCAGCAAUCAGGAGCCUUAACAGAAGGCUGCUCCAUAGCAUGAGAAGCAUUUGAUUCCGGCUUGGAAACCAGGGGCGGGGCAAAGCCGUUUUACCACCCCCACCGCCAUCUCUCCCCUCUCCCCGUCAGAAAGGCAGAUUUAUCCAAUGGUGCAUCCCUUGCCUUCAUGUCAGAGUGUAAGCUUUGUCAUAUUCCUGACUGUGGUUACUAGAAUUUUUUAUAGAUUUAUUUAUUUUAAGAUAUGUUUAUAGAUACUUUUUGCCUGCACGCAUGUCUCUGUGGGUGCUCCAGAACUGGGUAUGCUCCCAUGUGGGUUGUGGGAAUUGAACCCCAGUCUUCUGAAAGAGCAGCCAGUGUUCUUAAUCGCUGAGCCAUCUCUCCAGCCCCAAUUACUGGAAUUUCAUAUGAAAGCAAAACCACAGCAUAAGUCUUAACAAAUUUGAUUUCCACACUUUUUACCUUUUUCCGUUCACCAGAGAUGAGAUGCAGGUAUAAUCACGUUAAAACAAAAAUGCAAACAAAUCAGAUAAAGAAAAGGAAAUCCAGAUGACGCUCUCACACCUGAAGGAUGUGAGAAGCAGAGUAGAGUGAGACUCUGUAUGCCACCACCAUCCCAAGGGGACAAAGCACCAGGGGCUCUGAGUUGUUCACUUGUUUCUUUACAUGCGUAUGUACAGGCAUGUACUCCUGUGCAUGCAUGGAAGCCAGAAGAGAGCAUCCUGCCUCCUUCUCCAUCACUGUCUUAUUCCUCUGAGCCAGGGUCUGUCUCUCAACCCAAGGCUCUUGGUUUUCUUGGUUAGGCUAGAAGGCAGCAAGUCCCAGCAAUCCCCCAGUCUCCAGCCCCUUAAUUAAUCAGUUCUGAGGGUGUAAAGGGUCUGUGGGAACCAAACUCGAGAUCGUGUAACAAGCGAUCUUAACUGCUGAGUCCUCUUUCCAACUGCUCUGUAUCUUGCCAGCAAGAACAAUCCUAACAUAUACUCUGAGGUCAUGUUGGAACCAUGCAUUUCAAGACAGCAGAGGUUUGGGACAAUCUUUCCAAUCAGGGUGACUAACAACUGUGAGAUCAGGACUUCCUCUUUUUAUCAGCUAUAGUAUCAGAAAAGAAAGGACCCCUGUGAGCGCAGUGUCUGCCUGAAGCUCUUCAUCUUUUACAUUGUUGCAAAAUCUCUCGGGGAAGGUUACACACAGGAUCAUGUGUCCUGUGUAUGAAAUUAUGAUGACUUAUGACUGAUUACAUUCAUCACAAUUAUUGUGAAUAAAAUAUGUUGUGUUUU